GCCGGGGUGGCAGAGCGGACUCGCGGCAGGCUCGAGACCUGUUUCCCCUUCUGGGGUGCUUGGGUUCGAAUCCCAACCCCGGCG
rnacentral:tRNA from 1 species